rnacentral:rRNA from 1 species
CCUACGGGAGGCAGCAGUGAGGAAUAUUGGUCAAUGGGCGCGAGCCUGAACCAGCCAAGUAGCGUGAAGGAUGACUGCCCUACGGGUUGUAAACUUCUUUUAUAAAGGAAUCAAGUGAGGCACGUGUGCCUUUUUGUAUGUACUUUAUGAAUAAGGAUCGGCUAACUCCGUGCCAGCAGCCGCGGUACUACGGAGGAUGCGAGCUUUAUCCGGAUUUCUUGGGGUUAAAGGGAGCGUAGAUGGGUUGUUAUGUCAGUUGUGAAAGUUUGCGGCUCAACCGUAAAAUUGCAAUUGAUACUGGCAGUCUUGAGUACAGUUGAGGUAGGCGGAAUUCGUGGUGUAGCGGUGAAAUGCUUAGAUAUCACGAAGAACUCCGAUUGCGAAGGCAGUUCACUGGACUGCAACUGACACUGAGGCUCGAAAGUGUGGGUAUCAAACAGGAUUAGAUACCCCUGUAGUC